rnacentral:rRNA from 1 species
GUAGGGAAUCUUCCGCAAUGGACGAAAGUCUGACGGAGCAACGCCGCGUGAGUGAAGAAGGUUUUCGGAUCGUAAAACUCUGUUGUCAGAGAAGAACAAGUUGGAGAGUAACUGCUCCAGCCUUGACGGUAUCUGACCAGAAAGCCACGGCUAACUACGUGCCAGCAGCCGCGGUAAUACGUAGGUGGCAAGCGUUGUCCGGAUUUAUUGGGCGUAAAGCGAGCGCAGGCGGUUCCUUAAGUCUGAUGUGAAAGCCCACGGCUCAACCGUGGAAGGUCAUUGGAAACUGGGGAACUUGAGUGCAGAAGAGGAGAGUGGAAUUCCAUGUGUAGCGGUGAAAUGCGUAGAUAUAUGGAGGAACACCAGUGGCGAAGGCGACUCUCUGGUCUGUAACUGACGCUGAGGCUCGAAAGCGUGGGGAGCAAACAGGAUUAGAAACCCCAGUAGUCC